rnacentral:lncRNA from 1 species
UAUUAUUCAAGUCGACUUAUCAAUGAUUUAAGGUGCCUUUCAAUACACCUAUGAAUACCCUACCCCUUGAGCCUUCUACUUGGGGAUCUCUGACCAUGGUGAUGAGGUGUUCAGCUUAAGAGGAAUGGUACUCAAGGUGCUACAUUUAAAGAACUACACCUGAGGAACUUCAUCCAGAUCUCAACAUGAUUUAAAUGAUGACACUCAGGAUUUCAACUAAAUAUUGUGAUUGAUGGGGCUUUUGUGACCUUUUCUAGGGAUGAAAGUAUUUUAAUUGUGGGAAAAAUGUAUAUGCUAUAUGUUCAGAGUGUAGAGUGUGUUUGUUUAAAAAAAUUUCUACGAAGUUUUUGAUAUUCUUCCCCUCAAAAGGUGGAAGAAUUAUUAAUUCUUAAUUUCUGUUAUCUGGCUUCUUAAUUAUGAAGCAUUUAAAGAAUUGCUUCAUAAUACAGUAUAGAUGACACAAUAUUACAAACUUAAACAUCAUAUUAAUAACAACAUUAAACUAUAUCAAUAAUUAUAUGUAAAGUAACUAAUAACUCCAAUUAGUCAUCAGUAAAAUGAAAGCUGAAAUCACUUCAUCCCAAUAAAAUGGUUAAAAUUCAAAAGACUGGAAAUACUAAAAUUCAAAGACUAAUUACAUGUCACAUUUGAGACUAGAUUACAAAAUGACUACUAUUUUUAUCAUUCUGUGUGUGUGUGUGUGUGUGUGUGUGUGUGUGUGUGUUUAUGUGUCUAUCUCCUUCUUUCCUGUAUUACUCAUUGUAGGGGAAGCUGUUUUGAAGAGCCUAUAGAACUGAAUCCUUAGGCUGAGAGAAAAGUGAAUGUGUUUGAAAGUAUAUUCCAGUUUUGUUUUUAAUUUCUCUUGGGUAAACACCUUGGAUAAGAAUUAUUGGAUUGUAUGGUAAAUGCAUGUUUAACAUUACGAGAAACUGUCAAAUUGUUUUCCAAAAGAGUUAGAUCAUUGUAUGCUCCCAGUGACAAUGAAUGGGAGUUGCAUUUGCUCCCCAUCCUCACGAUCACUUUGUAUUUCUGGUCUUUUGUUUCUUUUGUUUCUUAACCCAUUCAACUGGGGAUGAGGUAGUUUCAACUUGCACAUCUCUGAUGACUCAUUGGAGCAACUACCCAAUAGUAAUCAUUACUUAUUUAUAUGAUUUAAUGUAAUUAUUGAUGUUGUGUUUAGACAUGUCAUCUUCCUAUUUGUACCUUUUGCUUAUUUGCUGCUCUGUUGCUCUUUUCCUGUCUGCAUUUGGGGAAAUCAAAUAUACACCAGUGCCCCACUCUAUUUGUAACAUUGACGAUUACAGACCCACAUGCACACAAAUCUCCACAUGCAUGAUAUUCUCAGAUCUUUAAGUUAGUAUUUUUCAUCAAAAUUAGAAAUUUUUGACCAUAAUUUCUUUAAAUAUUUUUUCUGCUAACAUUGUACUUUCUUCUCUUACUGAUACUUCAGUUACAUAUAUGUUGGAUUGUAUGAUGUUGUGAUACUGGCCUCUGAGACUCUGUUUAUUUUUAAUUAAUAUUUCCCCUUCUAUCUUUUUCAGACUGGAAUAUUAUUUUCUAAGUUAUUUGGUAAAUACCUUUUUUUACUAUCUCCUUUUUGCUGCUAAAUCCAUUCAGUGCCUAUUUUCAUUUUCAUUAAUCUACCUUUCAGUUUUAGAGUUCUCAUUUAUUCUUUUAUCUCUGUUGUUAUUUCAUUCCUGCCUUCAUAUUACCAUCAUAUUUAACUUAUUUAAAAGUAAUUAUUAUAACUACCUUAAAGUCUUCAUAUUUUAGGUUCAGCAUCUCUUUCAUCUGUAGUUUGCUUUUUCUGUUUUCCCAUUCUUUGUUAUGGAUUUUUUAAAACAAAAAUCAUUAAUAUGGUGAUUUUGUAUUAAAUACCAGACACAUGAACAAUGCCUUGUGCAGGCUAGGGGUUUUUCUUCCUUCAAAGAGUUUUCAAUUUUAACACUGGUUGACCACCUUGAACUUUUCAAAUUACUGGUCAAACUUGUCUUGGCUCAGGCAAUGCUGUAUUAAGUGUAAAUCUAGGAAAGCUCAAAGCAUUUCCUAGGCCCCUAACUCAGUAUCCAAAUCCUGUGUCCUCUAACAAUCUUGUUAGGCUUGCUUUUGGACUUUGUUAAUGAGACUUGAGGAAGUCUCAUAGAAUAUGAAUAGACAGAGGCUCUCUGUCUAGAUUCAUUAGCAGUUUCACAGUGAUGUUAUUCUAAUUUUGUCAUUCUUUUCUGGUUCUACAAAAGAAACUUUCCCGAUCUACUAUUUUAAUACUCAUUAGUAUUGCUUGUAUAGAAAACACAUGAUAAAUGCUUCAAUCUUCCCCUUUAUUUGCCCAUUUUUUUUUUUCCAAAUAAUGAGUUUGUUCACAAUCUCCAACCAUUCCUAAAUGUUCUUUCUGAGCAGCAUCAUACUCUUCUGAUACCAGUUAUUCCAGAGAACUCUCUUAGGAUCUCUCAAUUUUUUUUCAGGGAAGUCAUUAUAAUGGUGGGAAAUCUUUUCUGCUCUGGCUGUUUUCUGAACCUCAGUCUACCCUUUAAAUGUUUUGAUAUCAAGGGGAAACUGAGAAGACUCAAAUUUAUAUCUUGUCUCACUUUCGUACUCUAUUUCUGGCUUCCAUUCGAAUCUACAUCCUCAUCCCUAUCCUGGUCUUCAUCCACAUUAUUGCAAAGAGAAUAGUCCUUAUGCUGGCUGUCAGUUUCGCUAAAUCUAUAACCCUGCUGAUAUUUAUAAAAUGUAAGUUUAACAAUAUCAUAUCUUUCUUUAUAUUAAAAUGGGAAUUUGGGAAAUUUAGAAAACUCCUUUUUUAAAAAUAAAAAAAUAAAGCUUGGAUUUUGAGAUUAUGCCUUUGAAGACAAAUCGACUUUAAAUUACAAAGAAAAUAAUCCUCUUUAUCAACUCAGU